GAUGAAGAACGUAGCGAAAUGCGAUAAGUAAUGUGAAUUGCAGAAUUCAGUGAAUCAUCGAAUCUUUGAACGCACAUUGCGCCCCCUGGUAUUCCGGGGGGCAUGCCUGUUCGAGCGUCAUUUGUACCCUCAAGCUUUGCUUGGUGUUGGGUGUUUGUCCCGCGUUGCGCGUGGACUCGCCUUAAAGCGAUUGGCAGCCGGCAUAUUGGCCUUGGAGCGCAGCACAUUUUGCGCUUCUAGUCAUGAAUGUUGGCGUCCAUUAAGCCUAUACAUUUGCUCUUGACCUCGGAUCAGGUAGGGAUACCCGCUGAACUUAAGCAUAUCAAUAAGCGGAGGA
rnacentral:misc_RNA from 1 species